GCACCCACAGGGUCCCAGGACAGGGCGUGUUCAGGCUGUGCGCAGAGGAGGCGCGCAGACUGGCAGGAGCGUCGCAAACACAGCAAACUCUCCAGUGUCCUGAAGCUGUUCUGAAGAUGUCUCCCCCCAUUAGCUGGGUGAAGGUGGUACAGCCCGGCAGCGCCAGCAAAGACACCAUUUCCUGUCAAUCUGUGCUUCUGGCAAGACUUUCUAUAAACACUCUGCCCUCUCUCAUUUUCUUUUGCUUUUUGUUUUUUUUCUUUUCAUGUACCCACCCUCCAUUUCAUUUCCCUUUAUGAACUUUCCUGUAGUUCUUCUUUUUCCAUAUAUUUUGAAGCUGUAUUACCUUUCCAGGUAUUCCCACUGAAUCAGUGUGUAAAAAUGGGCUUUACUCAAGGUAAUUUGUCAAUUCUUCAAUAAACUUGAUAUAUUUUA